rnacentral:lncRNA from 1 species
CCUGGAGCUGGAGAACAGCGUUUACCGGCGGAGCGGCCGGUCUUAUGAAUGAAACCAUGGCUACAGAUUCUCCUAGAAGACCCAGUCGCUGCACUGGUGGAGUUGUGGUCCGCCCUCAGGCCGUCACGGAGCAGUCCUACAUGGAAAGCGUUGUGACUUUUCUGCAGGAUGUCGUGCCACAGGCUUACAGUGGGACACCCCUAACGGAAGAAAAGGAGAAGAUAGUUUGGGUCCGGUUUGAGAAUGCAGAUCUGAAUGAUACAUCACGGAAUCUAGAAUUUCAUGAACUGCAUAGCACGGGAAAUG